AUGAUAAAAACAGCUGUUCUCUCUCAGGAGACCGCAUCUACUGGGGUGAAUGCUGAGCCAUGCUCCCCACCUAGACCCCCCCUCACCCCUGCCUUAUCUUCAGGAUCAACAGUACUAUUCCCCCCUCCCAGACCUGCCCUCUCCUCAGGACCACCCCUGAUGGCUCCUCCGACUCUCCCCUCCAAACCCUCCCCAGCCCCUGACCCAACUCCCCAUGACCCAACUGACCCAACUCCACCUGUCUACCUGGACUCCUCCCCCCUCCUCCCUUCACCCCUCAUACCCUCCUCACCCUCCUCACCCACACCGCCCCUCCAUUCAGCUUCUGAACCACUCCNNNNNNNNNNGUACAGCUUACUGGGCUGUGAAUGUCUGAUGUUGUACAGCUUACUGGGCUGUGAAUGUCUGAUGUUGUACAGCUUACUGGGCUGUGAAUGUCUGAUGUUGUACAGCUUACUGGGCUGUGAAUGUCUGAUGUUGUACAGCUUACUGGGCUGUGAAUGUCUGAUGUUGUACAGCUUACUGGGCUGUGAAUGUCUGAUGUUGUACAGCUUACUGGGCUGUGAAUGUCUGAUGUUGUACAGCUUACUGGGCUGUGAAUGUCUGGUUGUUUCCAUGUCUGUUCUUUUGAGGAACAACGUCAUUUGAUCAGACAGGGGUAUUAGUGGCUUGACAGUGAAUGAGCUGAGAGAGAAAGGGUCAAUGUCUGUAAUCAUAUAGUCUACUGAACUGUGGCCAAGAGGUGAGCAGUAGGUGAAUCUCCCCAAAGAGUCACCCGUAACCUACCAUUGACAAAGUACAGACCCAGGCUUCUACAGAGCUGCAACAGAUCCCUUCCGUUGUUGUUGACGGUGCUGUCACUGUUGUUUCUAUGGGGGAGAUUAAGACAGUUAGAAACAGUAUGGCCUGUAUUUUUAGUUAUCACUUAGAUUUUGUAGUUUGGAUUUGUACCAAAGGAUCAGUCCUCCACAGUCUCUGCCUCUAUUGACAGAGCUGUGUUGUUUUUUUGCCAUCAUUGUAAGCCUGCAACACACACACUAUACAUUACAUUUAUUAAACAUAAUAAUGAGUGUGAGAUUUUCUCACAACCCGGCUCGUGGGAAGUGACAAAGAACUCUUAUAGGACCAGGGCACAAAUAAUAAUAUAAUAAUAAUCAAUCAUUUUGCUCUUUAUUUAACCAUCUUACAUAUGAAACCUUAUUUGUUCAUCAAAGAUUGGGAAAUACUCACCACAGGUUAAUGAGAAGGGUGUUCUUGAAAGGAUGCACAUAAAUCUGCAGUGUUGGGUUGUAUUGGAGAGAGUCUCAUUCUUAAAUAGUCUUCCACACACAGUCUGUGCCUGUAUUUAUUUUUCAUGCUAGUGAGGGCCGAGAAUCCACUCUCACAUAGGUACUUGGUUGCAAUGGGCAUCAGUGUCUUAACAGCGUGAUUUGCCAAGACAGGAUACUCAGAGCGCAGCCCAAUCCAGAAAUCUGGCAGUGGCUUCUGGUUAAAUAACAUUUUCACAGAACCGCUUGAUGCAAUUUCGAUGAGGCUCUCUUGUUCAGAUAUCGGUAAGUGGACUGGAGGCAGGGCAUGAAAGGGAUAACGAAUCCAGUUGUUUGUGUCAUUCGUUUCGGGAAAGUACCUGCGUUAUUGCGCACCCAACUCACUCAGGUGCUUCGCUAUAUCACAUUUGACAUUGUCCGUAAGCUUGAGUUAAUUUGCACACAAACAAUCAUACAAUGAUGGAAAUACCUGUGUGUUGUCCUUGUUAAUGCAGACAGAAAAGAGCUCCAACUUCUUAAUCAUAGCCUCAAUUUUGUCCCGCACAUUGAAUAUAGCUGCGGAGAGUGACUGUAAUCCUAGAUUCAGAUCAUUCAGGCGAGAAAAAACAUCACCCAGAUAGGCCAGUCGUGUGAGAAACUCGUCAUCAUGCAAACAGUCAGACAAGUGAAAAUUAUGGUCAGUAAAGAAAAGUUUAACUUUAAAAACGAGUCAAUUCUUUGCCCCUUUAAAAGCAGCGCACUUCUGUAUGUUGUAAAAGCGUUACAUGGUCACUACCCAUAUCAUUGCAUAAUGCAGAAAAUACAUGAGUGUUGCUUUAACAAAGUUAAUCAUUUUCACAGUAGUGUCCAAAACGUUGUUCAAGCUGUCAGGCAUUCCCUUGGCAAGUGGUGUCGGGAGCAACUGUUUGCACGCGCGUUACCACUCCACUAUGUCUCCCUGUUAUGGUUUUUGCGCCAUCAAUACAGAUACCAACACAUCUUGACCAAAGUCCAUUUGAUGUCACAAAGCUGUCCAGUACUUAAAAAAUAUAAUCUCCUGUUGUCCUGGUUUCCAAUGGAUUGCAGAAGAGGAUGUCUUCCUUAAUUGACCCCCCCAUAAACGUAACGGACAUAUACUAGGAGCUGUGCCAGGCCCGCCACGUUGACUCAUCCAGCUGUAACACAUAGAAUUCACUGGCUUGUAUGUGAAGCAGUAAUCGUUUCAAAACAUCUCCUGCCAUGUCACUGAUGCGUCAUGAAACAGUGUUGUUUGAUGAAGGACUUGUCGGAAAAGGUUUUUUGGGCCUUUUCCCCCAGCAUUGUCCCAACCAUAUCCACAGCAUCAGGAAGAAUUAAGUCCUCCACAAUAGUAUGGGUCUUGCCUGUCCUAGCCACGCUGUAGCUCACCAUAUAAGACGCUUCUAGCCCCUUCUUAUUAAUGGUAUCUGUUGCUUUUAUACAUGUCUUACUACUCGAAAGUUGUCUUUAUUCUCGCUCAAAAAACUCCUGUGGCUUAUUAUUCAAAUUGUCAUGUUUCUUUUUUAAAUGUCUGCGCAAGAGUGAAGGUUUCCUGUGAGAGAGUAACGGUUAAUGUGAUUGGAUGUUCAUCAUUCAUUCAUUAUUUGACUAGGCUACCUGUAUUUGACAUUGUGUUGUUAUUUUGUUGAACACUAGAAAAAAAAACUCACCCAAAUGUAUAGCCCCGUUGGAAAAUAUAAAUGUACUGUUUGAAAAUAUUUUCUUUUAUUUUUUAAAAUGUGAAUCACAUUUUUAUUUGGCAUACCCCUGAUGGCAUUGCGCGUGCCUCAGUUUGGGAAUACCUGCUCCAGGGCAAAGGUGUUUAGGUGGAAUUUGUAUUUGUGGUCCUGACAGCUGGACCUUUUUUUCCAACAACAUUAUUUUAGUCUUUCUCUCUCUCUCUCUCUCUCUCUCUCUCUCUCUCUCUUUCCUAUCUUUCUCUCAUAUCUCUCGUCUCUCUCUAUAGGGUGAAUGCUGAGCCAUGCUCCCCACCUAGACCCCCCCUCACCCCUGCCUUAUCUUCAGGAUCAACAGUACUAUUCCCCCCUCCCAGACCUGCCCUCUCCUCAGGACCACCCCUGAUGGCUCCUCCGACUCUCCCCUCCAAACCCUCCCCAGCCCCUGACCCAACUCCCCAUGACCCAACUGACCCAACUCCACCUGUCUACCUGGACUCCUCCCCCCUCCUCCCUUCACCCCUCAUACCCUCCUCACCCUCCUCACCCACACCGCCCCUCCAUUCAGCUUCUGAACCACUCCNNNNNNNNNNUUUGUAUAUUAUCUACUUCACUUGCUUGGGUAAUGUUAACAUAUGUUUCCCAUGCCAAUGAAGCCCCUUGAAUUGAAUUGAAUUGAGAGAGAGAGAGAGAGAGAGGAGGGAGAGAGAGAGAGAGAGAAUAACUGCCAAGUGUGUUAGUGAGAGAGAGAGAGAGAGAGAGAGAGAGAGAGAGAGAGAAUAACUGCCAAGUGUGUUAGAGAGAGAGAGAGAGAGAAUAACUACCAAGUGUGUUAGUGAGAGAGAGAAGUGGGACAAGAAGAGGAGAAAGAGAGGGAGGGUUUGAACCGUUUUUUUAGGAGAUCUGUGAUCUUCUUGGCAGACCUGAAGGCUAGCUGUGUGAAGG
rnacentral:lncRNA from 13 species